GACGAACCGUACGAACGUUAUUCGGAAUUACUGGGCUUAAAGGGUGCGUAGGCGGCGCAGUAAGUUGGGUGUGAAAUCCCUCGGCUUAACCGAGGAAUUGCGCCCAAAACUACUGUGCUCGAGGGAGAUAGAGGUGAGCGGAACUUAGGGUGGAGCGGUGAAAUGCGUUGAUAUCCUAAGGAACACCGGUGGCGAAGGCGGCAUCCUGGACCGGUAUUGACGCUGAGGCGCGAAAGCUAGGGGAGCAAACGGG
rnacentral:rRNA from 1 species